rnacentral:rRNA from 1 species
GAUGAACGCUGGCGGCGUGCCUAACACAUGCAAGUCGAGCGAUUCUCUUCGGAGAAGAGCGGCGGACGGGUGAGUAACGCGUGGGUAACCUGCCCUGUACACACGGAUAACAUACCGAAAGGUAUGCUGAUACGAGAUAAUAUGCUUUUAUCGCAUGGUAGAAGUAUCAAAGCUCCGGCGGUGACAGGAUGGACCCGCGUCUGAUUAGCUAGUUGGUAAGGUAACGGCUUACCAAGGCGACGAUCAGUAGCCGACCUGAGAGGGUGAUCGGCCACAUUGGAACUGAGACACGGUCCAAACUCCUACGGGAGGCAGCAGUGGGGAAUAUUGCACAAUGGGCGAAAGCCUGAUGCAGCAACGCCGCGUGAGCGAUGAAGGCCUUCGGGUCGUAAAGCUCUGUCCUCAAGGAAGAUAAUGACGGUACUUGAGGAGGAAGCCCCGGCUAACUACGUGCCAGCCGCCGCGGUAACAC